rnacentral:rRNA from 1 species
UCAAGAAACUUCCACAAUGGGCGAAAGCCUGAUGGAGCGACGUCGCGUGAUGGACGAAGUGCUUCGGCACGUAAACAUCUUUUUAUGUGGGAUGAAAUUAUUGACAGUACCACAUGAAUAAGGGGCUCCUAACUCUGUGCCAGCAGGAGCGGUAAUACAGAGGCCCCAAGCGUUAUCCGGAAUCACUGGGCGUAAAGGGUGUCGAGGCGGUUGUAUUAGUCGUUCGUAAAAUCUACGAGCUUAACUUGUAGGCGGCGAACGAAACGGUACGACUUGAGGUUUGGAGAGGUGCGUGGAACUCACGGUGUAGGGGUGAAAUCCGUUGAUAUCGUGGGGAACACCAAAGGCGAAGGCAGCGCACUGGCCAAAAUCUGACGCUCACACACGAAAGCUAGGGUAGCGAAGAGGAUUAGAUACCCCCGUAGUCCCUGAGCGGGCUGGCAAGGCGCAU